rnacentral:rRNA from 1 species
UACGAAGGAUCCAAGCGUUAUCCGGAUUUAUUGGGUUUAAAGGGUGCGUAGGCGGGCUAUUAAGUCAGUGGUGAAAGCCCCAAGCUUAACUUGGGAAUUGCCAUUGAUACUGAUGGUCUUGAGUACACUUGAAGUGGGCGGAAUGUGUCAUGUAGCGGUGAAAUGCUUAGAUAUGACACAGAACACCGAUUGCGAAGGCAGCUCACUAAAUUGUAA